GACGAACGCUGGCGGCGUGCCUAAUACAUGCAAGUCGAACGCACUCUCGUUUAGAUUGAAGGAGCUUGCUCCUGAUUGAUAAACAUUUGAGUGAGUGGCGGACGGUGAGUAACACGUGGGUAACCUGCCCUAAAGUGGGGGAUAACAUUUGGAAACAGAUGCUAAUACCGCAUAAAACCUAACACCGCAUGGUGUAGGGUUGAAAGAUGGUUUCGGCUAUCACUUUAGGAUGGACCCGCGGUGCAUUAGUUAGUUGGUGAGGUAAAGGCUCACCAAGACCGUGAUGCAUAGCCGACCUGAGAGGGUAAUCGGCCACACUGGGACUGAGACACGGCCCAGACUCCUACGGGAGGCAGCAGUAGGGAAUCUUCCACAAUGGACGAAAGUCUGAUGGAGCAACGCCGCGUGAGUGAAGAAGGUUUUCGGAUCGUAAAACUCUGUUGUUGGAGAAGAAUGUAUCUGAUAGUAACUGAUCAGGUAGUGACGGUAUCCAACCAGAAAGCCACGG
rnacentral:rRNA from 1 species